CGGACACCUUGGUACUUGGAGGUUAGGGCAGAGACUGGGGGCGGCAGAGGGUGAUGCGCUGGCUGAGAAGGAGGGAAGGGACCAUUGUCUUCCCGGGAGGGGUCCCUGGGCUGCGAGAGAUGGGGCCAGCUGGACCCACUCCCAGCAGGACCAGUGGGAGCAAAGUGACAGAGACAGUGGAAAGCGGAUGAGAAAGGGAGGGGCGAUGUGUGGGCCACUUGUGUGCACACAAAUGUGAGAGCGUGUGGAGGUGCACUGGGGUGAGAGUGGCAGCAUGGGGGUGUCCUAGAUGGGGUGGUUGAGGGAUGCUGUGUUUGUGAAAGGUAUUUGUGUGUGUUUGCCCAUCUGUGCUUGCACACGUGUUGUGUGUCUGUGUUUCAGCUGCUCAGAGGGCUGAAGGUGACAGUCUACGGAGAGGGGCAUGAGCAUGUGGUUGUUUGAAAGUGGGUGUGAGUGUGGUUGUGUUUGUGAGUUUGUGUGUAUGUUGAUGGUGGAAUGAGCAUGGGUUUGUGUGUACAGGGCAGAGGCUGGCUGUGCAUGUGCUUGUGCAAAAGUUGACAUGACAUUCAUGGAAUGUACGUGUGUCAGGGUGAGUGUGUGUGUGUUGAGGUAACUGUGUGUUUGUACUGGCGUGUGGGUAUUUCAGGGUGUGUGUGUGACUGUUGGGGUGGCUG